GGCUCAGGACGAACGCUGGCGGCGUGCUUAACACAUGCAAGUCGAACGCUGAAGCAUCUUCGGGUGUGGAUGAGUGGCGAACGGGUGAGUAACACGUGGGUAAUCUGCCCUGCACUCUGGGAUAAGCCCGGGAAACUGGGUCUAAUACCGGAUAGGACACAUGGCCGCAUGGUCUGUGUGUGGAAAGUUCCGGCGGUGCAGGAUGAGCCCGCGGCCUAUCAGCUUGUUGGUGGGGUGAUGGCCUACCAAGGCGACGACGGGUAGCCGGCCUGAGAGGGUGACCGGCCACACUGGGACUGAGACACGGCCCAGACUCCUACGGGAGGCAGCAGUGGGGAAUCUUGCGCAAUGGGCGAAAGCCUGACGCAGCAACGCCGCGUGGGGGAUGACGGCCUUCGGGUUGUAAACCUCUUUCGACAUCGACGAAGCCUUCGGGUGACGGUAGGUGUAGAAGAAGCACCGGCUAACUACGUGCCAGCAGCCGCGGUAAUACGUAGGGUGCGAGCGUUGUCCGGAUUUAUUGGGCGUAAAGAGCUCGUAGGCGGUUUGUCGCGUCGUUCGUGAAAACUGGAGGCUUAACCUUCAGCUUGCGGUCGAUACGGGCAGACUUGAGUUCGGUAGGGGAGACUGGAAUUCCUGGUGUAGCGGUG
rnacentral:rRNA from 1 species